AAUCAGAAACUCUUUUAUUUCAAACUUUCCAGUGUGACUGAACAUUAAUCAUAAACUGCUGCUCCCUUCACGCUCACAUUUCUGCUCAGGGCUGCAGAUCACAAGACAUCGAACUCAAACACAUGAAUCCAGGCCAGCAGAAGCGCUGACCUCUGAGUGAUCCACCUACACAAGGGGGAUCACUUUUAAAGGUCGCUUAUUAUUGGGCACACGGACUACGCCCUAUUAAUAGAUUAUUAACAUGCAGUAAAAGUCUUCAGCUGAUGCGGUUACAACAUGAAUAUAUUUAAAAACAAUAAAAUCACACAGAGCCGCUCCCGGCUCCAGCCGCCGGGGGCGCUGUCGGUCUCUCCUCCAGGUGCAUGCCGGGUAGAGCAGGAUGGCGUCCCCGGGCUGUGCGGAGGAUCGGAGCGGCUGACCGCGGACUGUCUCCCCGCUGAUCCCGCACUCUCUGCGGCCUCAGGACCUUCAGGAGCAGAGCUGCGGCCUUUCUGAGCGAUGAGGUGCGCUGCGCCGAUGUCUGCAGGUGGUCUGGCUGUUGGACUAUGCUGCGUUCGUCCA